AGGUGGUUAGUUUAAUAAAAACACUUGAUUUCGGCUCAAGAGCCUGUGGUUCAACUCCACAACCACCUU
rnacentral:tRNA from 1 species